rnacentral:rRNA from 1 species
UACGAAGGGGGCUAGCGUUGUUCGGAAUUACUGGGCGUAAAGCGCACGUAGGCGGACUACUAAGUCAGGGGUGAAAUCCCGGGGCUCAACCCCCGGAACUGCCUUCGAUACUGGCUUUCUAGAGGCUGGAAGAGGUUAGUGGAAUUCCCAGUGUAGAGGUGAAAUUCGUAGAUAUUGGGAAGAACACCAGUGGCGAAGGCGGCUAACUGGUCCAGAUCUGACGCUGAUGCGCGAAAGCCAGGGGAGCGAACGGG